rnacentral:rRNA from 1 species
UGGGCUACACACACGCUACAAUGGCCAACACAAUAGGUUGCUAAGCCGCGAGGUGGCGCCAAUACCAUAAAGUUGGUCUCAGUUCAGAUUGUAGGCUGCAACCCGCCUGCAUGAAGAUGGAGUUGCUAGUAACCGCAGGUCAGCUAUACUGCGGUGAAUACGUUCCCGGGGCUU